rnacentral:lncRNA from 7 species
AAAGCGCGGAGAAGAUCUUUCACUGAAAUGAUCUCAAGCAAACUGCAUGAAGAUGGUACAGACAGAUGCCAAAAAAGAGGGCCCCCAUCAGCCCCGUGUGCCCCGCUGUGAACCACCAACACGCCAGGGUGCUGCUGAAAAACAAAUGGAAGCUGGCAGCAGCUGAAGGCCUGUGGUGGUUGACCAAUCUGCUCUGAGCUGUUCCAGGAGCCUCCAGAGGACAAGAGGAAUGUGACAGUGCUCCUUCUGUUCUGGCUGUGAGAAACUGAAAGCACCGAAGUGAGUUUGCUUGGUGAGCAGCGGAGUCACCUCCUGGUCCUGAUAGGUGAGCUGGAUGAGACCAGGGUACAGACUAGAGAUCUUCAAUGCAGCCUGAGCAUCUCAUGUAAUGUCAAGACCUUAAGAGCAGAGGAAGGCACAUCAGAGUAUCAUGACAGAAAAAAAUGGAUGAGAAGAACCUUAAAACUGUGCCUGUAGAUCUGAUCAAUGGAUCUCUGUGAAGUCCUUGGAUUGACUCUGCUCUUGGUCUGCAGGAACUUAUUACAGGCAUGGAACUUCUUCGAUUGGUCUCCCCCCUGCUUGAGGAGGCUAGAAUGCUUUAUUUAUUUGAUGUCAUAUUUGGUUAUACAUGAAAAUAUUUCACUAUUUAUUUUUAUAGUUUUGCAACAAUAUGUUAUGGAGAAAGCAUUUCCCAUUUUCCAACAAACUCUCAGUCAGGGUUUAGUUAUCUGUUUAUUAUUAGUGAAUGUGUCCCAGAGUUUUGCUGAUAUGUUUGUUAUCAGUGCAUCAAAGCUUGAGUGAUAAAAUAAACUAAUGUGGUCACCAGUUGUGCUAUUUGAACAAGUUCUGGAGUAGCAGAUGCAAAGCCGAAGAAGAUAUCUUAUCCCAGCUUUCACCUUUUGACUGGCUGGAAGAGACCAGCAGGCAGCUAAUUGUCUUUGAUGAAGAUCACGCCCCGAAAACCUGGGCCUCCAAAUAGGCGCAAAGCAAGGAUCUGGCUGUGAGGAAGUGGGCACAGUUAAAACUAGGGCUGCUUUGUCCUUCACCAGCACGGAAGAUGGCAUGCAUUGCUGCCUCUCUUGACUUUGCUUUCUCUCCUCCUCUUGUUAACUUUUCCACGAGCUGGAGUCAUAAGUAGCUGUAAGGGUGUCAGCCACUAAACCAGCAUUAGAUUGCAAAGAGAAAAAGGAAAAAAAAAAAACAUUAUAAAAGUUGUCUUAUAUGAAGAUGGAAGAACUUCGGCUAUUUGGGAGGAUGACUUGCCUUAAGUGACCAUACACUGUUGCCAGCAUGAUGCGUGCUUUGUCAGUUCAGCAACGGGCUAGCGCUGGCAAUACAAACAUAGCAGGAGUGAGUGUUGGAAUGCCCUGAAGUUCAUUAGUGUGUGAUCUCAUUAAAUUACUGUC